rnacentral:rRNA from 1 species
UACGGAGGAUGCAAGCGUUAUCCGGAAUGAUUGGGCGUAAAGCGUCCGCAGGUGGCUAUGUAAGUCUGCUGUUAAAGAGUCUGGCUCAACCAGAUAAAGGCAGUGGAAACUACAUGGCUAGAGUGCGUUCGGGGCAGAGGGAAUUCCUGGUGUAGCGGUGAAAUGCGUAGAGAUCAGGAAGAACACCGGUGGCGAAAGCGCUCUGCUAGGCCGUAACUGACACUGAGGGACGAAAGCUAGGGGAGCGAAUGGG